rnacentral:tRNA from 1 species
GGUGGUUUAGCUCAGUGGUAGAGUGUGUACUUAGCAUGCACAAGGUCCUGAGUUCAAUCCCCAGUCCUGCCA